ANCCUCUCCGGAUGUGACCUGCGGAGGAUCAUUACCGAGUGUAGGGUUCCUAGCGAGCCCAACCUCCCACCCGUGUUUACUGUAACCUUAGUGUUUCGGCGGGCCCGCCUUCAAUGCCGCCGGGGGGCAUCAGCCCCCGGGCCCGCGCCCGCCGGAGACACCACGAACUCUGUCUGAUCUAGUGAAGUCUGAGUUGAUUGUAUCGCAAUCAGUUAAAACUUUCAACAAUGGAUCUCUUGGUUCCGGCAUCGAUGAAGAACGCAGCGAAAUGCGAUAACUAGUGUGAAUUGCAGAAUUCCGUGAAUCAUCGAGUCUUUGAACGCACAUUGCGCCCCCUGGUAUUCCGGGGGGCAUGCCUGUCCGAGCGUCAUUGCUGCCCAUCAAGCACGGCUUGUGUGUUGGGUCGUCGUCCCCUCUUCGGGGGGGACGGGCCCCAAAGGCAGCGGCGGCACCGCGUCCGAUCCUCGAGCGUAUGGGGCUUUGUCACCCGCUCUGUAGGCCCGGCCGGCGCUUGCGGAACGCAAAACAACCAUUCUUUCCAGGUUGACCUCGGAUCAGGUAGGGAUACCCGCUGAACUUAGCAUAUCAAUAGCCGGAGGGAACCUGAGGUUUCCCNUACGGCAACC
rnacentral:rRNA from 1 species